ensembl:lncRNA novel transcript, antisense to GALNT12
CAGUAAUGACCAGACACAUCACACCCGCCUUCUAGAAGCCCUCCCUCACAAACCGGAUCAACUGCUAUGAUAAAGGAAUUCAGCAUGAACUUGGCCACUCUGAGCGCCUAGAGGCCACACUCAGGUCGAAGGCACGUGGCCCUGUGACAACGUGGCAGCUCACUUCUUCAAAGCCAGCAGCAGACACUCUCAGCAGGUGGCCUCUAGGAGCUGAGGUUCUCAGUCCUACAACCACAAGGAAUGAAUUUUGCCAAAAAACAGUGAGCUUGCAAGAAGACACCAAGGCUCAGAUGAGACACCAGUCCCAGCCAACACCCUGAUUUCAGCCUGCAAGAUCCAAAGCUGCGAUCCCCAGUUGAGCCAAGCAAGCCCUGAUUUCUGACCUACAGGAACUGUGAGAUAAUAAAUGGGUAUUUUCAGCUGCUGCGUAGCCAUAGAAAACUAAUACAGAUUUCGGUGCCUGGAAGUGAGAUGUUGCUGUAACAAAUACCUAAAAUGGAGAAGGGUGGAGGGAUUUUGAGGAGCAUGAUAAAGCCUGCAUCUCCUUGUAGAAAUGUGGAUGGUUGCUUUGGGAGGCCGAGGCAGGAGGAUUGCUGGAAGACAGGAGUUCAAGAUCAGCGUGGGCAACAAAGUGAGACUCCGUCUCCACAAAAAAUAA